GAAUUUGCCUUUAGGAGGGGGACAACAACUGGAAACGGUUGCUAAUACCCCAUAUGCUUUCGAGUGAAAUGGAUUUCCGCCUAAAGAGAAGCUUGCGGCUGAUUAGCUUGUUGGUGAGGUAAUGGCUCACCAAGGCGACGAUCAGUAUCUGGUUUGAGAGGACGAUCAGACACACUGGAACUGAGACACGGUCCAGACUCCUACGGGAGGCAGCAGUGGGGAAUUUUCCGCAAUGGGCGAAAGCCUGACGGAGCAAUACCGCGUGAGGGAUGACGGCCUAUGGGUUGUAAACCUCUUUUUUCAGGGAGGAAUCAAAUGACGUGUACCUGAAGAAUAAGCAUCGGCUAACUCCGUGCCAGCAGCCGCGGUAAGACGGAGGAUGCAAGUGUUAUCCGGAAUCACUGGGCGUAAAGCGUCUGUAGGUGGUUAAAUAAGUCAACUGUUAAAUCUUGAGGCUCAACCUCAAAAUCGCAGUCGAAACUGUUUGACUAGAGUAUAGUAGGGGUAAAGGGAAUUUCCAGUGGAGCGGUGAAAUGCGUAGAUAUUGGAAAGAACACCGAUGGCGAAGGCACUUUACUGGGCUAUUACUAACACUGAGAGACGAAAGCUAGGGUAGCA
rnacentral:rRNA from 1 species